AGUGGGAAAUAAUGUGAAAUUCAUUGACUGUUCCUGCAACGGUAAGAACGCGAGUUUAAGUCCGAGCACCGCUCAGC
rnacentral:ncRNA from 1 species